AGUGAACGCUGGCGGUAGGCCUAACACAUGCAAGUCGAACGGCAGCACAGUAAGAGCUUGCUCUUACGGGUGGCGAGUGGCGGACGGGUGAGGAAUACAUCGGAAUCUACUUUUUCGUGGGGGAUAACGUAGGGAAACUUACGCUAAUACCGCAUACGACCUACGGGUGAAAGCAGGGGAUCUUCGGACCUUGCGCGAUUGAAUGAGCCGAUGUCGGAUUAGCUAGUUGGCGGGGUAAAGGCCCACCAAGGCGACGAUCCGUAGCUGGUCUGAGAGGAUGAUCAGCCACACUGGAACUGAGACACGGUCCAGACUCCUACGGGAGGCAGCAGUGGGGAAUAUUGGACAAUGGGCGAAAGCCUGAUCCAGCCAUACCGCGUGGGUGAAGAAGGCCUUCGGGUUGUAAAGCCCUUUUGUUGGGAAAGAAAAGCAGCAGGUUAAGACCCCGCUGUUCUGACGGUACCCAAAGAAUAAGCACCGGCUAACUGCGU
rnacentral:rRNA from 1 species